CAGCCUGCUGGGAAGCUGAGGAUGGGCAGGGUCCUGCAGCUGCGCAGAGAAAAAAAUGGAGGGUCCCAAGCUAACAAGGUCGGCCUCUCUUCAGGAUGAAAGCUUUGGCAGGAGUUUAUAGUUUAUCCCAGGAAGAAUAUGGGAGAAGUGAAGUAAUACAGGGGAGGAUAUGAGGAGACACAGCUAGCAAGUAUGUGCCAUCCUAUCAGAAAUGCUGCUCCUAUCCUACAACGGCAUGGGCUGUGGACACAGACGGCCAUACCUCGGUGAUGGAGCGAUGCAGUUUAUCUCAACUGUGAUGUGGAGAAGACAUAGAAGAGAUAAGCAUACCUAAUAUUUGUUUUUCUCAUGGAUUACCCUGAUGGCAAGCUUCAGUACUAAGUACAGUAGGAAUGCUAAGUCUUGGCAUCUUUGUCUCAUUUAUUUUCUUUGGAGUAGUAAGUUUUGUUCCUUUUUCUUUGCGCGUGUCUGUGUGUUUCUGUGAGUCUUCAUGACCAACAUGUGUUCAUGUACCAGUAGACAUCAGAGAUUAACCUAAGGUAUUGUUUUUCAAGUGGCAGACUCCUUGUUUUUGUUUUAAAUUUAAUAGAUUUUACUUUAUGUAAACAGCUAUUUUGCCAAUAUAUGUGUAUGCAACUCUUUUGUGCCAGGUACCUGCUGAGGCCAGAAGAGGGCACUGUUUCUCCUAAAAAGAGAGUCACUGAUGCCUGAGAUACCGCAUCAUUCCUGGGAAUUGAAACUAGGUACGUCUUUGAGUACCUGCCUGGUGUCUUCAGAGGUCAGAAAAUGGUGUGACAUCUCUUGGACCUGGAGUUAUAGAUAUUUAAAACAAAUGGACAAGCUCUCUGCUUCUUUCCCAUGGAUUCGAUGAGAUCGGUUGCCUCACGCCCUUGCCUGACACUUGAAUCAUCACAAUUCAACAUGGAAAUAAACUCCAAACCUUCAUAGGAGCCUGAAGGGAACCUGACCAACUGAGCCUUCAGGAAAACAUACUUCGUGAAUUUCAAUCUAUCUUCCCCAGCACAGACACAAGUGAGUGGUGCAUGGGUUAAGUAUUCGAGAUCAGGUUUUGCUAUUAAGUGUAUUCACCCUGGAGAUGAGGUCAUGAGUUUUUCUGAGAGUGGGGGGGUGCAUCAAAGAAGUUGAGAGACAGAGGGAAGGCUACAUACAAUAUGAGUACAGUUCCCACACAUGAAAUUCUAAAACAAAGCAAAACAAAAAACAUAUGAGAAAGCCUCAGAAUACAUUGUUCUCUGACUUGAUAUUUCAACCUUUAUUCUUCAAUUGCUCUUCUGAAAGGUAUUUCCCCAGUUUACUUCACAUAGCUGUAUGCCUCUAGAGUUGUUUUUUCUAUCUCAAGACUGUUUAGAUUUGUGCUUCCCUAAGGCUAAACAAUAUUGAUUUGUUUUUAUUCUCUUUUUGUGUCUUUGUAAAACUACUUUGGAGACACGUCUCUUCAGGGAAUUAUUUAGAUCCACAAGACUGGAGAAGAGAUGGCUGAUGAAGAGAUCUCAUGCAGGAUGAAGUGCUCCAAAGUCUCACUCUCUGUCUAUUGCCCCAUUGUGGGUCUCUGGGUCAUUUCUUAUCUACUACAAGAAGAAGCUCCUCUGAUGAGA